rnacentral:rRNA from 1 species
CACGUAGGGUGCGAGCGUUGUCCGGAAUUAUUGGGCGUAAAGAGCUCGUAGGCGGUGUGUCGCGUCGGCCGUGAAAACCUGCAGCUUAACUGUGGGCGUGCGGUUGAUACGGGUGGGCUGGAGUUCGGUAGGGGAGACUGGAAUUCCUGGUGUAGCGGUGAAAUGCGCAGAUAUCAGGAGGAACACCCGAGGCGAAGGCGGCUCUCUGGGUCGUACCUGACGCUGAGGCGCGAAAGCGUGGGGAGCGAACGGG